GAAAAACUCCAUUUGUACCAGAAUUCACAUCAGAGACUGGAGUCAAAGGCAAUGUCAGCUGAAUUUUUACUGGGAUAGACUGCUAGUACAUAACGAAAAUGCCCUAAGGCUAGUUCAAAGGGGACGGAAACUUUUCAUAAAGUAAGAGAACAAAAGCUCGCUUGAUCUCGAUUUUUAGUGCAAUUACAGACGAAAGCAUAGCCUAUCAAUGCUUUUGAAUCAGAAAAUCUCACGAGGUGUCAAGAUGUUACAGGGAGAACCGACUUCUGGACCAUUUAUAGCGAUAUUACCUUUUCAUCUUUCCAUGUCAGCUCUUCCUAUCAGAGGAGUUGUGCAGCAGAAUUCACCAAGUGUUUGAUUGUUCAAUAGGGAACGUGAGCUGGAUUUAGACUGGGUUUAGAGGCAGGCUAGCUUUAUC
rnacentral:ncRNA from 1 species